UGCCCAGCAACUCCUAUUCCUAUCUCCUCGCGGUACUGGCCUUAGGGAAGGUCUUUGGUCGUAUGCUGACAGGGAAGG
rnacentral:ribozyme from 1 species